rnacentral:misc_RNA from 1 species
AAGUCGUAACAAGGUUUCCGUAGGUGAACCUGCGGAAGGAUCAUUAACACGUAUCCAACGUUUAUCAACCAACCGUGAACUUGUUUUCAACCUUCUCCCUGGAAGUAGAAAAGGCGCUCUCUCGGGCGUCACAAUACAUUCUUCCAGGCUAACCCCGAUUAACUAAAACUAUUCUCACCUACAUUUUUGCUAGUUGACUUUUUAUAACUGUGCUCUGGCUCUCUGCAGUCUUUGCGCACGUUUAAACCUCAUAUUUAAACGUUAAAAAAUACAACUCUUAGCAAUGGAUAUCUUGGUUCUC